AUUUCUAGAGAUAGAAAGUUACUUCGGUACAUCGGUGACAGGUGGUGCACGGUUGUCGUCAGCUCGUGUCGUGAGAUGUUGGGUUAAGUCCCGCAACGAGCGCAACCCCUAUUGUUAGUUGCCAUCAUUCAGUUGGGCACUCUAGCGAGACUGCCGGUAAUAAACCGGAGGAAGUGGGAUGACGUCAAAUCAUCAUGCCCCUUAUGACCUGGGCUACACACGUGCUACAAUGGUUGGUACAACGAGUUGCGAGUCGGUGACGGCGAGCUAAUCUCUUAAAGCCAAUCUCAGUUCGGAUUGUAGGCUGCAACUCGCCUACAUGAAGUCGGAAUCGCUAGUAAUCGCGGAUCAGCACGCCGCGGUGAAUACGUUCCCGGGCCUU
rnacentral:rRNA from 1 species